UUGGAGGGCAAGUCUGGUGCCAGCAGCCGCGGUAAUUCCAGCUCCAAUAGCGUAUAUUAAAGUUGUUGCAGUUAAAAAGCUCGUAGUUGAAUUUCGAGACCGGCUUAUUGGUCGUGCUUUUGUACGUACUGGUAUAAUCGGUUUCUCCUUUCUGACGAACUAUAAUGCCAUUAAUUUGGUGUUAUAGGGAAUCAGGACUGUUACUUUGAAAAAAUUAGAGUGUUUAAAGCAGGCUCACGCUUGAAUACAUUAGCAUGGAAUAACGGAAUAGGACGUUUGAUUCUAUUUUGUUGGUUUCUAGGAUCGACGUAAUGAUUAAUAGGGAUAGUUGGGGGCAUUAGUAUUCAAUUGUCAGAGGUGAAAUUCUUGGAUUUAUUGAAGACUAACUACUGCGAAAGCAUUUGUCAAGGAUGUUUUCAUUAAUCAAGAACGAAAGUUAGGGGAUCGAAGACGAUCAGAUACCGUCGUAGUCUUAACCAUAAACUAUGCCGACUAGGGAUCGGAUGAUGUUAAUUUUUUAAUGACUCAUUCGGCGCCUUACGGGAAAC
rnacentral:rRNA from 1 species